GACGUAGGGCGCGAGCGUUUGUCCGGAUUUAUUGGGCGUAAAGGGCGCGUAGGCGGCUUGACAAGUCACUUGUGAAAUCUCUGGGCUUAACCCAGAACGGCCAAGUGAAACUGUCGAGCUAGAGUGUAGAAGGGGCAAUCGGAAUUCUUGGUGUAGCGGUGAAAUGCGUAGAUAUCAAGAGGAACACCUGAGGUGAAGACGGGUUGCUGGUCUAACACUGACGCUGAGGCGCGAAAGCCAGGGGAGCAAACGGG
rnacentral:rRNA from 1 species